GCCUUUGUGGUGUAGUGGUCAGCACAAACGGCGCGUUUUCGAGAGGUUCGUGGUUCGAGUCCUGGCGAGGGCA
rfam:Stegodyphus mimosarum contig70601, whole genome shotgun sequence.